rnacentral:rRNA from 1 species
UCGUGCGAGAAGUAGACUUCGGUCUAUGAGUAGAGCGGCGCACGGGUGAGUAACGCGUGGAUGAUCUACCCUUGAGUUCGGGAUAACGGUGCGAAAGCGCCGCUAAUACCGUAUAACAAUCCAUUUCAUCGUGGGUUCAAAGCAGGCCUCUUCGUGAAAGCUUGCGCUUGGGGAUGAGUCCGCGUCCCAUUAGCUUGUUGGCGGGGUAACGGCCCACCAAGGCUACGAUGGGUAGCUGGUCUGAGAGGAUGAUCAGCCACACUGGAACUGAAACACGGUCCAGACUCCUACGGGAGGCAGCAGUGGGGAAUAUUGCGCAAUGGGGGAAACCCUGACGCAGCGACGUCGUGUGAGGGAAGAAGGCCUUCGGGUCGUAAACCUCUGUCAGAAGGGAAGAACAUCCGGGAGUCGAACAGCCUCCCGGCCUGACGGUACCUUCAGAGGAAGCGCCGGCUAACUCCGUGCCAGCAGCCGCGGUAAUACGGAGGGCGCAAGCGUUAAUCGGAAUCACUGGGCGUAAAGCGUGCGUAGGCUGUUUGAUAAGUCAGGCGUGAAAUCCCUCGGCUCAACCGGGGAACUGCGUUUGAUACUGUUGAACUAGAGUCCUGGAGAGGGUGGCGGAAUUCCUGGUGUAGGAGUGAAAUCCGUAGAUAUCAGGAGGAACACCGGUGGCGAAGGCGGCCACCUGGACAGGUACUGACGCUGAGGUACGAAAGCGUGGGGAGCAAACAGGAUUAGAUACCCUGGUAGUCCACGCGGUAAACG